GACGAACGCUGGCGGCGUGCCUAACACAUGCAAGUCGAACGGGGUGAUUUCCUUCGGGAGAUCACUUAGUGGCGAACGGGUGAGUAACGCGUGAGAAACCUGCCUUUCAGUGGGGGACAACAGUUGGAAACGACUGCUAAUACCGCAUAAUGUAUAUUGGGGGCAUCCCUAAUAUACCAAAGCUUUAUGUGCUGAAAGAUGGUCUCGCGUCUGAUUAGCUAGUUGGUGAGGUAACGGCUCACCAAGGCGACGAUCAGUAGCCGGUCUGAGAGGAUGAACGGCCACAUUGGGACUGAGAUACGGCCCAGACUCCUACGGGAGGCAGCAGUGGGGAAUAUUGGGCAAUGGGGGAAACCCUGACCCAGCAACGCCGCGUGAAGGAAGAAGGCCUUCGGGUUGUAAACUUCUUUUAGCAGGGACGAAGAACGUGACGGUACCUGCAGAAAAAGCAACGGCUAACUACGUGCCAGCCGCCGCCGUAAGAC
rnacentral:rRNA from 1 species